CUUUGAUUCUUUUACACCCUAAUUGCUUGGCAUUUAUAAUGGGGAGACAGGAACCAGGGUCCUUGGGAGAGAUGGCCAAGUGUGGUCCAAUGUGGCUGGCCUCAACUGGACUGGCUUUUGUCCCUUGCUAGGCCACAGGAAGAGCCAAUUUCUGAAUCAGGAGCAAAAUAUUUUCUAGAAGUUAUUACAUGGCAGCUCUGAGGAAAAAAUUCUUUGACCUUCUAGUCAAAUCAUGAAAUUAAGAUUACUCCAGCAAUGUAUCCCAGUGGCAACACUUCAUCUUCAUUCACGCUCCUCGGCAGCCCAGCCUUUACAUGGGUCGCCAGAACAUCUCUCCGAGGUAUUGACUGUAAAGAGGGAAACCUCCACUGUCCAUAUCCAAACUUCAGAGUAGUGUUUAAAGCAGGCAUAGUAGAGGUAAUGGGAAAGAUAUUAUUGAUUUUAUGUAUGUAAAUAGAGCAUAGUCAACUUGACAAUGCCUCUUUAAAUAAUUGAAAAAUCUGCCUCAGCUGACAGUAGCUCACAAGAUAACGAGGCUGGUUGUGGAAGAACAUGAGUAAUUAGAGAGUGGGGAUUCUUGCCACAUGGAAUUGACCCUUGGGGGCUUGAAGAAAGCAGGAUUUGUGGCUGCUCUGAAAUGCCAGUGGUCUGGUCCAGCAUUCCUCUUGUCAAUACGAACCUUGUGUUUUUAUUGGAAACACGUGUCAAAACAAAACAGUGUUUGAGGCUGCUGCUGAGAGAAGGUGGGCAAGUCCACAGACAGCCAACCUGUUUUUUCUGCUUGUUUCCAAACAUACCCUGCCACACUGCCCGUCACAUUCAAAUGGAGGGAAAGAUGACAACGUAACCUCUUGCUGAAAUGCAUCUGUCUCUGGGUGAAGCACUACUAUUUAACUCAACCACAGAAGCAAAACAGAUCUAGGCCUUAGACAAAGAAGCAAAAUCAGGAAAGAAUUGGAUGGAGAAGAAGAAUUUGACUUGGGAGUGAACUCUUCAGAAAGUAGCGUGAGAUCUUCAAGAAAGCAGAGGAAUCGGAGCUCAUUGCAUGUGAAUUGCCUAAACUGCAUGUGAGCUUUAAGGAGAACAGUAAUGAAAGAAUAAAGUGGCUUACAAGCUACA
rnacentral:lncRNA from 1 species